rnacentral:rRNA from 1 species
GACGAACGCUGGCGGCGUGCCUAAUACAUGCAAGUAGAACGCUGAAGGAGGAGCUUGCUCUUCUGGAUGAGUUGCGAACGGGUGAGUAACGCGUAGGUAACCUGCCUGGUAGCGGGGGAUAACUAUUGGAAACGAUAGCUAAUACCGCAUAAGAGUAGAUGUUGCAUGACAUUUGCUUAAAAGGUGCAAUUGCAUCACUACCAGAUGGACCUGCGUUGUAUUAGCUAGUUGGUGGGGUAACGGCUCACCAAGGCGACGAUACAUAGCCGAACUGAGAGGGUGAUCGGCCACACUGGGACUGAGACACGGCCCAGAGUCCUACGGGAGGCAGCAGUAGGGAAUCUUCGGCAAUGGACGGAAGUCUGACCGAGCAACGCCGCGUGAGUGAAGAAGGUUUUCGGAUCGUAAAGCUCUGUUGUAAGAGAAGAACGAGUGUGAGAGUGGAAAGUUCACACUGUGACGGUAUCUUACCAGAAAGGGACGGCUAACUACGUG